GUGGGGAAUCUUGCGCAAUGGAGGCAACUCUGACGCAGCCAUGCCGCGUGCAGGAAGAAGGCGCUACGCGUUGUAAACUGCUUUUAACCGGGAAGAAACCCCAGGACGUGUCCUGGGUUGACGGUACCGGAGGAAUAAGCACCGGCUAACUUCGUGCCAGCAGCCGCGGUAAUACGAAGGGUGCAAGCGUUAUCCGGAUUCAUUGGGUUUAAAGGGUGCGUAGGCGGAGCGUUAAGUCAGUGGUGAAAUCCUGCAGCUUAACUGUAGACUUGCCAUUGAUACUGGCGCUCUUGAGUGCGCUUGAAGUGGGCGGAAUGUGCCGUGUAGCGGUGAAAUGCUUAGAUAUGGCACAGAACACCAAUUGCGAAGGCAGCUCACUAAGGCGAUACUGACGCUGAGGCACGAAAGCGUGGGGAUCGAACAGGAUUAGAUACCCGAGUAGUCC
rnacentral:rRNA from 1 species